GUGUACUUGCGUGCCAGAAUUUCCUGCAGUUCUUGACGAGAGAUUUCUCCGGUGUUUUCUGGAGUUGUUCGUGAAGAACAAAAAGGAGGUUCUUUCAAAGAUUCAUGAGUGAUCCGACCAAAGAUGGGAACUAAGAACGUUUCUUGUUUUAAGCGUCUCCAGCAAUGGUGGAGAAGGCUGACAAAGAACACCAACAAUGAAUCAAAGGAUGUUCAGAAGAACCAGACUUCUCCGUUUUCCAAAACCGAGUGGAAACAGCUUCUUCAACAAUUUGAGGUUUUCAAAAAGAAGUCGACCAAAGAAAAUGCUCUUAUUUUUGAAGGAAGUGAGGAAAGUGCAAACACUUACCUCGUAUCUGAUAUUUUUGAAAAGUUGAAGAAGAAUUUCAAGAAUUACAGGUUGAAAAUGCUCCUACAGUGUUUUUAAUAGACUCCGCCCACAACAUGGAUGAGGAGUCUGCAGAUCUGCUGUCGAGUGUUUUGCUGUCUUUACAACGGCGCAUGCUUCUCAUCAUGACAAUGAAGCCAUUGAACCCUCAGUGCUCAACCAACUUGCAAUUCUUUGCCAAUAGUUCUUCGAUUCUGAGAGUUAAAAUGAGAAUUCCAUGCAACAUGUAAGUGAUCUGUAUAUUCCUUUGCUGCAACAUUUUUGGCUGCAAUUUUUUUUACGG
rnacentral:lncRNA from 1 species